GGCUUUCUGGCUCCUUCCCUUUCCCGACUCCCGUUUUGCCCCUUUCCCGCCGCCCCGCCGGCAGUUUGCACGGAGAUGUAGGAUCCGUUGGCUUAAGAGGGUAGUCUUUCGUAUGUCUCCCGUCCCCACCACCACCUCGAAAAGAACAGGCAGAACUCAAAAGGGAUGCUCCGUCACCCCCUUCCUCCUUCCAGAGACGUUUCAGCCGCAAUUGGCCCAAUCCUUCGAUCUCCGACUCGCUGCAAGGGAGCGAAAGUCUGUGGAUGGAGUAGACCACCGGUGUCCCAGGGGACGGGGGAAGCUUUGCGAAGUCACCUCUUGCUUAAGCUCUGCGUGCCAAGCGCCUUUACACCUGAACUCGGGAGGUGACGACUUCACGAGAUUCACGAGAGUAUGCCAACCUAACUUUUGCUUGAGGAUGGGAAUUUAAAAACCGUGGACUGCGUCGCACUUGCUUCCCCCAUCUGCCAAAUGGAAGGCACCCACCUGGAGGUGCGCACGCGCCGAGGCGUAUUCUCGCGCUGGGUUGUGGGGGUCCCUCCUCCUCCAGGCCCCUCCUCUUUUCGAAAUCUUGUUUGCUGAACCUGGUAGUUUUCUACUGCGUGUGCAUAGCCAGGGAUGGAUUUCAAAGCGCUACCAAUCAUCGUCUCAGGACGCGCCCUAAAUUCUUGACGGAUGUUUGGUCUGAUGAAUAUUUAUUGCAAUGAAUUUUUUAACCUCAACCGGUUGUGGCCAAUAUUGGCUAAGGUUUAAGUAGCAGUGUCCUAAAAUUACAGUGCCUUGAACAGCUACAACUCAAGGGCUCUUUUUAAACAAGGCCCUGAAAAACGCAAAGGCCUAUAAAUCGGUGGAUAGUUCCAACUAUGAACCCGUGAGACUUAAGCGACAGGCAAAUAACAAUACAAUUUUAGUACUUCACCAAAAUAGUUUCUGUUACUUACAUCUGGACUCUUGACAGGUGCAGAAUACAUUGGUGAGCCUUGUUGAUUUGGUGAUGGGUCAUUAAGCCGUACAACUGAAGGAAACGCAGCCUCCUUUGUUUUAGAACACAGUUGUGAGUGCUGGUAUUUCUGGACCUCAGUGUCCUCAUCUGUAAACGCGUGGAGUGAGAAGGAACCCAGCAUACCUUGAGCACCUGCCUGAUAUGUUUUCUCUUUUGGAUCUCGUCGUAAGACACAAGGGAUAACCAGUCUAGUGUUGCAGCCAUAAAAUUCUGGUAUACUUGAAUUACUUCUGCAAGGUGCCUUGACAGUGAGAAGAUCUGUUUUACUCUCUGCAGAUUGCAAGUCAUUCCUCCUUUUGAAGUUAGCAUAGAACUCUUGGUUGAGAAUGAAAAAAGGAAAGUGAAGCAAAGAGAGGGCAGAGUAAGACACUUUUACAAUAAAGAUUCAGGAAAAAUAUGGACGCUGAAAAAGUCCAGGUCUUACUAAUUGCAGUAUUUGUGGAACACUCUCAGUGUGCCAGGCACUGCCAAGCACUCCUCAGGUGUCGGGGAGAGAAGUGACAGAUGAGUCAGCUGUGAGAAAGUGGGAUUGAACUCCAGCAUGAGUUUUGGAGAGGACAACCUGUCUUCAAACCAUAGCACUUUCCCUGCCAGCUGCACCACCGGAUGUUGUGAAACCUUUGAGCCUGAGCUUGAGAAUCAGCAACUGGAGUUAAGCAUGAAAGUGAGGUGGAGUUACAGAAACUGAGAGAGAGAGAGACAGAGAGAAAGGUCUUCCUUCCAUUGGUUCAAUC